UACGUAGGGUGCAAGCGUUGUCCGGAAUUAUUGGGCGUAAAGAGCUCGUAGGCGGCUUGUCACGUCUGCUGUGAAAACUCGGGGCUCAACCCCGAGCCUGCAGUGGAUACGGGCUAGCUAGAGUGCGGUAGGGGAGACUGGAAUUCCUGGUGUAGCGGUGAAAUGCGCAGAUAUCAGGAGGAACACCGGUGGUGUAGACGGCUCUCUGGACCGUAACUGACGCUGAGGCACGAAAGCGUGGGUAGCAAACAGG
rnacentral:rRNA from 1 species